GACAGAGGGUGCAAACGUUGCUCGGAAUUACUGGGCGUAAAGCGCGUGUAGGUGGACUGGUGUGUCAGAUGUGAAAUCCCUGGGCUCAACCCAGGAACUGCACCUGAAACUACCAGCCUUGAGUGGUGGAGAGGGAAGUGGAAUUCCUGGUGUAGAGGUGAAAUUCGUAGAUAUCGGGAGGAACACCGGUGGCGAAGGCGGCGACCUGGGUAGAUACUGACGCUGAGGUGCGAAAGCGUGGGGAGCAAACAGG
rnacentral:rRNA from 1 species